rnacentral:rRNA from 1 species
GAUGAACGCUGGCGGCGUGCCUAAUACAUGCGAGUCGAGCGAACAGACGAGGAGCUUGCUCCUCUGACGUUAGCGGCGGACGGGUGAGUAACACGUGGAUAACCUACCUAUAAGACUGGGAUAACUUCGGGAAACCGGAGCUAAUACCGGAUAAUAUAUUGAACCGCAUGGUUCAAUAGUGAAAGACGGUUUUGCUGUCACUUAUAGAUGGAUCCGCGCCGCAUUAGCUAGUUGGUAAGGUAACAGCUUACCAAGGCAACGAUGCGUAGCCGACCUGAGAGGGUGAUCGGCCACACUGGAACUGAGACACGGUCCAGACUCCUACGGGAGGCAGCAGUAGGGAAUCUUCCGCAAUGGGCGAAAGCCUGACGGAGCAACGCCGCGUGAGUGAUGAAGGUCUUCGGAUCGUAAAACUCUGUUAUUAGGGAAGAACAAAUGUGUAAGUAACUAUGCACGUCUUGACGGUACCUAAUCAGAAAGCCACGGCUAACUACGUG